UAGGGAAUCUUCGGCAAUGGACGAAAGUCUGACCGAGCAACGCAGCGUGAGUGAAGAAGGUUUUCGGAUCGUAAAACUCUGUUGUUAGAGAAGAACAAGGACGUUAGUAACUGAACGUCCCCUGACGGUAUCUAACCAGAAAGCCACGGCUAACUACGUGCCAGCAGCCGCGGUAAUACGUAGGUGGCAAGCGUUGUCCGGAUUUAUUGGGUGUAAAGCGAGCGCAGGCGGUUUCUUAAGUCUGAUGUGAAAGCCCCCGGCUCAACCGGGGAGGGUCAUUGGAAACUGGGAGACUUGAGUGCAGAAGAGGAGAGUGGAAUUCCAUGUGUAGCGGUGAAAUGCGUAGAUAUAUGGAGGAACACCAGUGGCGAAGGCGGCUCUCUGGUCUGUAACUGACGCUGAGGCUCGAAAGCGUGGGGAGCAAACAGG
rnacentral:rRNA from 1 species